CACAACUGUACAUAUUUGACCAUUUAUUUUUUGACAUUUUAGGGGAAGCUGAGCUUCCCUUGCAGUCUUAGAGAAAUCGCCUCUGCAGCUCAGGUAUUUUCUAUUUAGCGUUGCAUUAACACUGAGCAUUUUCUGUGCAUGUAUGAUAAGCUGUGAAUAACACCAAUGGGUGACCUUGUUUUAUUUGCCUCCCAUGCCCAGCACAAAGUCCUGCAGGGUCCUGUGCAACAGUGCUUGUCUGAAGCUGUUUAUAUUAGCCAGUAAUAUGAAGAUGUUUCAUUUAGCUUCACUUACCGAUACAAUCUCUUCUGGAAUCAGUUCAGCUGCAAUGUUUUUUCCGUGAAAACUAAAGCAAAGUGUGAAGAAUGAGACUGAUGCGCCAAGCUGAGUGCGUUUAACAAUGACCCAGCACUCGACUGUCAGGCAAUGUUCUGGUUUUGCAGUCUUUCUGGGAAGAGCAGGUGCGGCACCUCUUGGCUUUACUUCCUGUGCCUUUUGGUGAGACUUUGGCUGGAGCAGGACCAGAUUCCUCCAUUGGAGCGAAGUUUCUGACCAAACGGAGGAGGCAGUGUAUACUGCCAGGACCGGGUCCUGAAAUGCUGAACCCACUCAGACCAGCAUAUUCCAUCUAUCUAAACUGUUAAGUUGAAAUUGCGACUGCUUUGACUAGUUCAGCAAGCUGGAUGAAUGAUAGCUAGCUAAGUAAUGACAUGAAAAUUAAGCUGGUUGCUAACUAGCAUGUUAGGCUUACCUGGGACUGCAGAAGUUGUCGUUCUGCCCACAUUCACUGCUGCAAGUGGGGCACUCCAUCUGCCUCCCUCUGGGCAAACACAACACAACACAACACAAUGAUGAAAACAUUCAGCCCAGCAAUGCUUACCUUUACCAAACACUGAACUGUACCUACUGCUUAGUUUGCCUAAAAGCUAGAUAGUAUCUAACACUAUCAAGCCAGACUUCAACUUUUCAUUGUUUGAUAACUUUUUUCAUUAAAUCAAUUAAACAAUCAUUUAAAUAUUUA